rnacentral:rRNA from 1 species
CAGUAGCCACGGGAAUACGUAGGGUGCGAGCGUUAAUCGGAAUUACUGGGCGUAAAGCGUGCGCAGGCGGUUCGUUAAGACAGAUGUGAAAUCCCCGGGCUUAACCUGGGAACUGCAUUUGUGACUGGCGAGCUAGAGUAUGGCAGAGGGGGGUAGAACUCCACGUGUAGCAGUGAAAUGCGUAGAGAUGUGGAGGAAUACCGAUGGCGAAGGCAGCCCCCUGGGCCAAUACUGACGCUCAUGCACGGAAGCGUGGGGAGCGAACAGGAUUAGAUACCCCCGUAGUCCCUGUCUCUUAUAC